GAUUCUAGAGAUGCACAUAACUGAAGUAUUGAACUAUUGAUACGUUAAAUUGGGGAACACAAUCUUUUUGACAGAUAGGCAGAAAUUCACACGCAGAUACACAAUAUGAAAUCAGAGAUGUGUAGAUACAAAUCUAUAAUUCAACAAUGAAGGAAUCACCAGGAACAAACCGUUAAAAAAUAAUGGAUAUCCCAUGUGUGGAUGCGACUGUGGCUUCGGCUUGCACAUCCGCUGUCUGCUGCAUCACAAUUUGUUCCUCCACGGCAGCCUCGGCAAGUGUCGGGGCUUCAAUAUGUUCAUAAUUAAGUAUGUUGUUCCUGCUGGAUACAUGCUUUCUUGCAGUCGUGCUUGGAGGUUUGGAGGCCAUCACGCAUCAAU
rnacentral:lncRNA from 1 species